rnacentral:lncRNA from 1 species
AAUUAUUGAAUGCAUUUUCCAUUCUGGUUCCUGAUAAUAUCUACAUGCGCCCACAGUCAGCACUCUAAUUUGUGGAUUUCUGGACCUGUUUAAUUACAGGUUCAUUGAUUUCACCUCUGUUUUGCUAUGUAGUUUGGCAGUUAUUCAAGUGGUAUAGGCGUACACCUAAACUAACUCGAUCAGGGUCAGUUUGCUCUUCAUAAUACUGUAAGUGCUAUAGAGAAUUCAUUAAGUGAUACAACAUACUGUUACCUUUGGACAGAGGGCUGAUACUUCUCAGGUUAAUUGUUUCUUCAUCCCUCCAUAAGCCGAAAUCAAAUUUUC